rnacentral:rRNA from 1 species
CAAUAGCGUAUAUUUAAGUUGUUGCAGUUAAAAAGCUCGUAGUUGGAUUUCGGGUGGGACGCAGCGGUCUCGCAUUGCGUUUGUACUGCUGCAGCCCUCCUUCUUGCCGGGGGCGGCCUCUCGGACUUCACUGUCUGGGGGUCAGAAUCGGCGAUGUUACUUUGAGUAAAUUAGAGUGUUCAAAGCAAGCUUACGCUCUGAAUAUAAUAGCAUGGGAUAACACGACAGGACUCUGGCCUAUCGUGUUGGUCUAUAGGACCAGAGUAAUGAUUAAGAGGGACAGUCGGGGGCAUUCGUAUUCCGUUGUCAGAGGUGAAAUUCUUGGAUUUACGGAAGACGAAUAUCUGCGAAAGCAUUUGCCAAGGAUGUUUUCAUUAA